GGUGAACGCUGGCGGUAGGCCUAACACAUGCAAGUCGAACGGCAGCACAGUAAGAGCUUGCUCUUACGGGUGGCGAGUGGCGGACGGGUGAAGAAUACAUCGGAAUCUACUUUUUCGUGGGGGAUAACGUAGGGAAACUUACGCUAAUACCGCAUACGACCUACGGGUGAAAGCAGGGGAUCUUCGGACCUUGCGCGAUUGAAUGAGCCGAUGUCGGAUUAGCUAGUUGGCGGGGUAAAGGCCCACCAAGGCGACGAUCCGUAGCUGGUCUGAGAGGAUGAUCAGCCACACUGGAACUGAGACACGGUCCAGACUCCUACGGGAGGCAGCAGUGGGGAAUAUUGGACAAUGGGCGCAAGCCUGAUCCAGCCAUACCGCGUGGGUGAAGAAGGCCUUCGGGUUGUAAAGCCCUUUUGUUGGGAAAGAAAAGCAGCAGGUUAAUACCCCGCUGUUCUGACGGUACCCAAAGAAUAAGCACCGGCUAACUUCGUG
rnacentral:rRNA from 1 species